CUUUAAAAACACGUGAGUGAAAGAAAGAGACAGAGAGAAAGAGGGCUCAGACAUGGCAAAAGAUUCAGACUAUGGUGCGUUCAUGGAGAAGUUCGUUCUACAACCAAGCCCAUCAGCCCAUGAGCUUCCUUUGAGUGGACUCACCUUUGCCGUUAAAGACUUAUAUGAUGUGGAUGGAUAUGUGACUGGGUUUGGAAAUCCUGACUGGGCAAGGACUCAUCCGGCUGCCACGUCGACAGCCCCAGCCGUUUUGUCACUCUUAAGGGCAGGUGCUACAUGUAUUGGUAAAACUGUCAUGGAUGAAAUGGCAUACAGUAUAGAAGGAGAAAAUAUACAUUAUGGCACACCUAGAAAUCCAUGUGCACCUGAUCGGAUACCUGGAGGAUCUUCCAGUGGAUCAGCUGUUGCUGUAGCCGCAAAGCUUGUUGAUUUUGCCUUAGGAAGUGACACUGGAGGAAGUGUAAGGGUACCUGCAUCAUACUGUGGAAUUCUUGGCUUUCGGCCUUCACAUGAUGUCGUUUCUACAACUGGAGUUAUUCCUAUGGCACAGAGUUUUGAUAGCAUGGGAUGGUUUGCUAGGGAUCCUGUGAUUUUGAACAGAGUUGGACGAGUACUAAUGCAAUUACCUGAUGUGGAUCCUGUCAACCCCUCCGAGAUAAUUAUUGCUGAAGAUUGUUUCCAGCUUUCAGCCAUUCCAAGUGAUCGUCUUACUGAACCGCUUUUUAAAUCAGUGAACAAGCUCUUUGGAGGUGAUCUUGUAAAGCAUGCAAUCCUUGGGGACUAUGUCAAGGAAAAAGUUCCAAGUUUAAAACAAUUCAUGACUGAGGAAACUGCAGAUCAAGAGAACAAUAUACCAUCUUUGGCAGCCCUUUCAAGUGCCAUGCGGCUGCUUCAAAGGUAUGAAUUCAAGAAACACCAUGGUGAAUGGGUCAGUACUGUCAAACCUGAUUUGGGUCCUGGAAUGUCAGAAAGGAUAUGGAGAGCCGUUAGGACAACAGAUGAAAAUGUGGUUGUCUGUCACUCUGUAAGGACUGAACUACGUGCUGCUCUUAAUGCUCUUCUUGGGGAUUGUGGUGUCCUGGCAAUUCCCACGGUUUUAGAGCCUCCACCAAAACUACAAUGUGAUCCAAUUCGAUUAGAAGCUCUUUUAGUCAAGACUUUUAGCUUGCUGUCAAAUGCUGGAUUAACCGGAUUCUGCCAAGUGAGCAUACCACUAGGGCUGUAUGAUAAUCUUCCUGUGGCAAUUUCCUUGUUGGCAAAACAUGGCUCGGAUGGGUUCCUGCUUAAUCUUGUUGAGUCUCUGUACAAAAAUAUCCAAGAAGAGGUUGGCAUUGCUGAGAAAAAGGGUUACUGAAUUCUCUCCCUAAUGUUUUAAUGUAAGUGUUAGAUCCUACUCAAAGAAAUAAAAUUGGGAUAGGGCUUUCUGCUUGCACUUUGGUGCCACAGAGGCCAUUUAAUCCCAAAACACUUAAUUCUCCAAGUGACUCUGAAUUGUAACUAAUUACUACUUGAUCAUCGUCGUCAAUAUAUUGUGCUAUUUCCAACUCAAUGGAUUAUACUUCAUAGCCA